rnacentral:lncRNA from 1 species
GGCGCGUCGUGCUUCCUGGCGCAUCGUGUCCUCCAUCGAGCAGAAGGAGGAAGGGCGCGGAGCUGCGGGGCACGCCGCCGCGGCGCGCGGGUACCGCGCACGUGUCGAGGCCGAACUCUCCAACAUCUGCGCGGGGAUCCUCCGUCUCCUCGACGAACGCCUAGUCCCCGCCGCCGCCGCCGUCGAUGCCAAGGUAUUCUACCUGAAGAUGAAGGGAGACUACCACCGCUACCUCGCGGAGUUCAAGUCGGCCGCCGAGCGCAAGGAUGCCGCCGACUCCACCCUCGGUGCCUACCAGGCCGCUCAGGUAUCCCCUAUCUUUUAACUAGCUUUUCU